AGCCCUUGAUGACAAACUCUAUAUUUCUGACACCUCGUAUGAGAGCUAGUAAUGGCUCCCGUGAUUCUGAUUUUCUUCUGAGGCUC
ensembl:snoRNA small nucleolar RNA SNORD60